AGGAAUCAUGUCGAGACGGAAUCAAGCACGGAAGGCUAACGGGUCAAGAAGUGGCGAAGAAACAAAUAUGAAUACGGAUGCACGAGGAACGAGAAUAUCGGAUUCUUACGAAAUUUAAGCUCUACCUGAAAUAAGAGGAUGAGUGCCACACGGACUUCUUCUGCUACUUAGAAAGUGAAGCGGACGUAGAUCGAGUCAAGAGCAAGGAUUGCACGGAUAGAUCGGUCAUAUAAUUGAAGUGUAUAACG